rnacentral:rRNA from 1 species
CAUGUAGGCGGAUUAAUAAGUUUGAAGUGAAAUCCUAUAGCUUAACUAUAGAACUGCUUUGAAAACUGUUAAUCUAGAAUGUGGGAGAGGUAGAUGGAAUUUCUGGUGUAGGGGUAAAAUCCGUAGAUAUCGGGAGGAACACCAGUGGCGAAGGCGACCUACUGGGCACCAACUGACGCUGAGGCUCGAAAGCAUGGGUAAGCAAACA